GACGAACGCUGGCGGCGUGCCUAACACAUGCAAGUCAAGGAGAAUUCCCGACUUGUCGGGAUAGUAAACUGGCGAACGGGUGAGUAACACGUAGGUAAUCUGCCCUCGGGAUCGGGAUAACCUCGCGAAAGUGGGGAUAAUACCGAAUAAAGUCUCGGUAUAAUUUGUCGAGAUGAAAGAUGGGGAUCUUCGGACCUAUUACCUGAGGAUGAGCCUGCGCCUGAUUAGCUAGUUGGUAGGGUAAAUGCCUACCAAGGCAACGAUCAGUAGCUGGUCUGAGAGGAUGAUCAGCCACAUUGGGACUGAGAUACGGCCCAGACUCCUACGGGAGGCAGCAGUGAGGAAUUUUGCGCAAUGGGCGAAAGCCUGACGCAGCAACGCCGCGUGAGUGAAGAAGGCCCUCGGGUUGUAAAGCUCUUUUGUCCGGAAAGAAAAGCGCCGGGUUAAUACCCUGGUGUCCUGACGGUACCGGAAGAAUAAGCACCGGCUAACUUCGUGCCAGCAGCCGC
rnacentral:rRNA from 1 species